rnacentral:rRNA from 1 species
AACGAACGCUGGCGGCAUGCCUAACACAUGCAAGUCGAACGACACCUCCGGGUCUAGUGGCGCACGGGUGCGUCACGCGUCGGAACCUUCCCUUAGGUUCGGAAUAACUCCCCGAAAGGGGUGCUAAUACCGGAUAAUGUCUUCUGACCAAAGAUUUAUCGCCUUUGGAUGGGCCCGCGUUGGAUUAGCUAGUUGGUAUGGUAAAAGCCUAUCACGGCGACGAUCCAUAGCUGGUCUGAGAGGAUGAGCAGCCACACUGGGACUGAGACACGGCCCAGACUCCUACGGGAGGGAGGAGUGGGGAAUAUUGGACAAUGGGGGAAAGGCUGAUCCAGCAAUGCCGGGAGAGUGAUGAAGGCGUGAGGGUUGUAAAGCUGUUUUAGCCGGGAUGAUAAUGACAGUACCGGGAGAAUAAGCACCGGCUAACUCCGUG